GGGUGGUCCCGGGGAUCGAACCCACUACCCUGGCGUUACAAGCGCCAUGCUCUACCAAUUGAGCUACAGAGCACCAGCCCUAUCAGAGCUUAAGUCUGUAGUCACCUGGCUGCAGAGGGGGUUCCCAUUCCUCCUGAUCCUGCUGCCUAAAGUGUGUUUUCAGCACAAGCUGGCCUGAUGUUUGCAAAGCCCAACAUCAACAGCUUUGACUUCUUUGAUCUGGGCGGUGGGGAUCACUGACUUUGUUCUGAAGUACUUCACCAUCAGCCUGAAAUGCUUCACCCUGUUUCUUCCCAAGAUCCUCCGGGCCUUCAAAUCCAUAUCAUUUGACCUCUGUGGACGAGUAUCAGCCAUACGCAGGGCCUUGGCAAUUCUCUGCAGUUCUCAGCAUGUGUUCUUUGAGGAGUGCCUGUAUUUGGAUUAGACCUCAUUUGACCUCUGUGGACGAGUAUCAGCCAUACGCAGGGCCUUGGCAAUUCUCUGCAGUUCUCAGCAUGUGUUCUGUGAGGAGUGCCUGUAUUUGGGUUAGACCGUGAGUGAACGUGCCCACUCUGCCGCUCUGCCGUCAUAGAGAACCUGCACUGCAGGAAGGACGGCACCACCUCUGCCCACUUCCAGAUCUAGUAGCUGGGAUUGACAGCCAUAUGCCUCCAGGACACUGGAGGACAUUACGGAGGAAUAACUCAUUUUAAUAUGCCCUUACUGUGUUGCCCGUUAGACUCCACACGGAGUCUAAACUCUACAGUACAUACAGUUGUCUCAGCCAUCCAUAUCUUGCAAAGAAAUAGAAUAUUAACUUAUCUCCAUGCAGCACAGCACAGUGUGGUAUUGGUCAGUAUUCUUGUACAGGGUGGCUUAUGUCAGUACAUCAAUUGCUCACUUGCUGAUGUAUUUCAUAGAUCUCUCACUAAUGUUACCAUUCCUUCAACAACUGAUUUGUUAUACAUUUCACCUGAUUUCUAGUAAAGAUUCAGCUUAUGUUUGAUGACAUCAGACCUACCAAAACAUUUUUGAGAAACUCGAACACAAGUUGUGUGCUUUCAGUAUGUAUCAGAUUUUUCAGUGAAACCAUGAUUGAAGCAGUAUUGUUCAGCAUUUGUUGAAUGUUUUAUGUUGUCAUUACUUUUUGCAUAAUAAUGAUGGCAUGAAAGCAUUUUUACUUCGAAAAUUUUAUUAUCUAGAGUGAGCACAGAAUUCACAAUGUAAUACAAAUUUAAAUAGCAUGUAAUGAACACAUUCUUUAUAAAAGACACAGAUUCAGCACUGCAAUUGAAAACUACAGUUUUUUUGCGAUAUAGAAAAACAGCUUAUGUACUGUAAACAUGAAUAGCAUGCCCUUAUUUUUGCACAAGAUUUCUUGCAUGGUUUUAUAAACAUUAUCUGUCUUAACAAUGCUGAGCCCCCCAUCCCAUUUCAAAAGUUCCAAAAAAUAGAACAGUUGAGUUUACUUAUUUUUUCAGUUAUCAAGUAUUUGAUACAACUAACAGCAUUAUUCACCUAAUAAAAAUGACUGCAGAAAAAAACCUA